AUGGAUGUGAUGAUCCUUUCCCCUGAUAAUCGACUAAGAUUAUAAUGUGCGUUUUGUUUAAAAAUCUUUUCAACAGAUUUUUGAAGCCAGUACUCUGAUCCAU